rnacentral:rRNA from 1 species
GUCUAUGGCCAUGCUACCCUGACCAAGCCCAAUCCUUUCUGACCUCGGAAGCUAAGCAGGGUCGGGCCUGGUUAGUACUUGGAUGGGAGACCACCUAGGAAGACCAGGUGCUGUCGGUG